ensembl:antisense Gm42697 predicted gene 42697
ACUACCCUCCAGAUCAACGGAAGCUCCCAAUGGUGGAGUUUAAUGUCCACAGCCUUCAGCAACUACUAGAUACCUGCCAAGCACACAGGCCGAGGAAAACAUAUUCCGUUUAAAAAUCUGACUUAUGUCAUUGUAUCCAGAACUACUAGGAUAAAAUGUUUACUUCCACUUGACCUGUUCCUCUGUCACUGGAGUGUGAUGAAAACGGAGAUGAAACCUGGAAUCGGCUGUGAGUGGAGUGCUGGAUUUGAUAGCUUCACACCAGGCUAGGUUUCGCUUUCUCCACAAGCUGGCUCCAGAGCAAGUCUCACGAGAGACAGUGCUUCCCAAAUAAAUUGGGAAGUGAAGGAGAAGGACAAAGAUGAUCAACCGGUGGGAGCUUAUCCUAGGCUACACACGUUGCUAAGUAUUAUUUGCGUAUGUCCCCAAGUAUUAUUUGUGUAUGUCCCUCUAAUCGUUACAAAGACACCAACAAACGGGGACUGUUGCCAGAACCCCAUUAAAGAAAACCUAAAACAGGAACCAUUAAGGACCAAAUCCAAAGUCACUCACCUGGUGACUGUGUGUAAGCAAGCACACCCCGUAAGUUGACAAGAGUCAAGUUAAUUUGUCACUCUAGCUUCAAAUGCUCCUUUGCUGCAUAGCAAAAGCAAAACCUACCGUGCUUGAUGCCUGAUAAGACGGACGGAGCCACCGUCAUAAUCACAGGAAUGAAUGUAAGCGUGGCUUCCUUCGCCACUGUCCUGAACCCAGAAGAGCCGUUUGUCCAGGACAUCCAGAGUCAGCACCGAUAUUCCCCCUGUCUCCAGCAGUGUUUUUACAUCGACACCUUUGAGGUGUGCUCUGUGAAGGCUGCCGGUCACCUCUGAAGACCAAAACAUCAACCUGGAGAUGAACAUAUCACACACAACCACAACUGAAUGAACAGCCACUGAAGUGGGGGCUCUCGGGGCUCCCACCUCUGGUGUCUGCCCAGGGGAGUCUGACUGCUUUGAAUGGGAAUUCAAUUGUGUGUAUGUAUCUCCUACUGGAAAUGCCGUGGGAUUUCAAGUGUGAAGGAUAACCAAGCUUUUAUAGAAGAAGUGAAGUGAAGUGCAUCAGGCAGGGAGAACACCUAGUGUCUCCCAAUCCAGCCACUUGUUUUGGGGGGGAAUGGUGCCUGUGUGUUGUCAAAGAAGACCUGCAUCUCACUCAGGAGUCCUGUCAAGUAACACAAUGUACUAAUCUUGGUGAGAUUUGAAGCUCAUUUCAAUCUCCUUUAAAACAAAACAAAACAAAACAAAACAAAACAAAACAAAACAAAACAAAACAAAACAGAUUUUUUACCUCUCUAUUGGAUCCACUGCUAUAUUUGACGGAUGUUUUAAGGAACUUAGAAGAACUCGGGAAUUUUUCCCUGUCAUAUCUGUUACGGUGAUGACUCCGUUCUGUUGGUCUACCCAGAGAACUUCAUCAUCUAUCCAGUCUAUGGCCAGCCCAGACACCUUCCUCUCUACAUUGCACACUUUCUGCAAAACCAAAUUUAAACAUUAAGAAUAUUUCCAAUUCACAAUGAAAUUGCUACUUUAUCACACGUUGAAAGUCUGUCAUCUUAGUAUUUGCCAUUUUAAUGUGUUCUCUGCAUCCUUUAAAUGAUGAAAUAGUCACAGGGUGAGCUUGUUUCGAUUCAGCAACAGUACAUCCCUCCUUGUGAAUAGGCUUCCUGUAUCAUAGCUUUGGAACCCCAUACUAUCCUAUAUACUAUUGAAAUUAGAAGAUCAGCCACGAUAAAUUUUUCACAGAUUUUUUUUUUUAAUGCUUAAAACAGUUCUUUUAAAUUCCAUUUGUUGAUGGAAUCCUAACAUGAAUUCAAUUUUAGGUCUUUCCAAACUCUGGUAAAAUUCCACUGGGGUUUGAGCAGGGUCAUAGAGUGAGUGGAUGUCUCACCUGCCCCCUUUUAAAGAGGAUUUCGAGCACUCCAGGCUGGCCUCGAACUGUUUAAGUUUGAGGAUGGCUUUGAUCUCCAGGUCCUCCUGCCUCUGUCUCUUGAGUGCUGCAAUUACAGGCCGACCCAGGGUUUUAUGUGUGCCAGGCAAACAUUCUAUUGACUGAGCUAUAGCCACCACCUCUGGAAACAGUUUUGUUAUGAAACCCUGUUUUGCUCUGCCCACUCUUCUACCAUCAAGACCCUUUCUUCCUCUAGUUCUCAAUGACACCAGAGAGGCAGUGUUUCUCUUUAUGUCUCAGGCUGUCCCUUGCCUGUUCUCGAAAGAACCAAACCAAGGAAUCUGUAUUCUUGAGUCCAACCCGAACAAAUCAAUGAGUCCUCUUGGGGCUUGGGUUGACAAGGCAACAGGAAGCCGUGGGUUUUACCCUCACAGGUUCCUGUGGUGUCUUAGCCCUGCCACUGUGGUUCCCACUCCCUUUAGGACGUUGGUGAGUUUGGAGCUGGGUAGUGACAGCACAGACUCAGAGCUGUGCUAGAGCUUUUGUAGAGCUGUCCAGCCGAAACCUUAAACAAUUCUGUGUUCCCUCGUUAGCGCUUCCCUUUAAAUUGCUUUCACGUUCAGUGUGAACAGCUCAGCGUGUGCUAUUUUCUAAGUUUUAACGACGGAAGGGGUGAUGGUGGUGUACUGGUGAGUUAUUAGGCACCAGGCCAAUCCUUUCCUAAGGACUUGACAUAAACCCACAACUGCUUAUUCUCUUUUCCUUGGUCGGUGACAGGGAGUCUCUAAAUUCUCAGAUUUCCAUGCCGUUCUAGCAGAUGUCUGGAGAGUAUGGAACAGGCGAACUUGUUAAAGUGAGGCUAGCUAGUAUUAGAGAUGCGCUAAAACAGAUUAGCACCUAAUUGAAGCUUUUAGAAAUAAUUGGAAGGAGAGAGGUUUAGUUUGGAAGGGGGGGGGGACCCAAACACUGAGCACUUUGUGUUGGGAAUAAGUGCUACAGGGUUCCGUUAAUCACCUGCUCUCUGUAAUCCAUCCCUGGGACAUUCCUCCUGGGACUCACUGCUGAGCUCUACCAGUUGAAGAGAAAGAUUAAGGGUCUUUUGUAUGUACUUGAAAUACAACACUUUUUAUCUGUCCUUGGCUUCAUUUUUCCCCCCCAGAGUACAAAUACUUUGAGAAUACAAAGCCAACCUUUUUUUUUUUUUCAUUACUGUCAGGUAUUUCUCCAGCUAUAUGAGAAGAAAAAUGUAUACAGAUAUAACAGACUUUCUUGACUCAGGCACUAUCAACUCGAGGUUAGACAGUGCUUCACUAUGGGGCCAGUGCUUCACCAUGGGGCUGUGCCACACAGCCCAGGAUGUUGAUUGGCAACCUUCCUUGCCCUGGGCCCAUUGGAUACCCAUAGCAUCUUCAUCCUCUUAUUGUAGUUACUUGUGACAACCAGAAAGGACAGCUGUCAAAUAUUCAUAGAGGGACAAAAACGUCUGAGGUACAAAAUGCAAAAUUAUGUCUUCAUGGCGACCGACUUAACAAAAUCAAAUGUUUUCAAAAUUAUAUUCAUUUUCUCAUGACCUCCUGUUAGAGGCUUACAAACGUUGAUUUGUACACUGGAUCAGUGGUGUAGCACCACAGGUGCAUAUUAAAUGCCUGCAGUUAACACCUGCACCUUUGAACCAUGCUGGAUUUUCACGUAUCUCCCUGUCCAAGUACUAGGUGCUGGUUAGCUUCUGAGAUCAGGCCCAUCCAGAGAACUCUGACCUUACACAAAUUAUCUACACAUUAGGAAUUCAGUACGCCACAUUUGUCAGAAUUUGUAUAAAUUCUUCACAUACCAUGGGGGGAAUAAUGGUACUUUACCUCUAGUCCUGUCCCGUUAAGGAAAACUCUUAGCAAAACUUGUCUUUCUACAUCCACCCAAUAGAGUCUCUCUUUUUUAUAAUGAAUAUCCAUGUCUGCUGAGAUGCCAGCAUCCACCACCAAUUGCUGGUGAUUUGUUCCAUCUGGGUCAAUCCGAGAGAUGCUCUUUCCUUGUGAGAAAACUAGGAAGGGGGCAGGACCUGAUGGGGGAGGAGAGAAAGAAACCAACGUAUAGAUUUUCAGUGAUAUUUAAUCUGUUCCACAUAAAAUACUUCCCAUGACAAUCAAUAUAUGUAGAAGUGACUUAAAUUUUUAGUCUUAUAUUUUAAAUAAAAACUAUUCUGUAC